CGCCCGGCGGCCGCGCAGCCGCUCAGUGGCCGUCACGCACGUCAGUCAGAGCGCGCCAGCCAAUCGCCGCAGCGGGCCAAUAGCAGCGGGGAGGGGGCGGGGCUCCGCCAGUUCCGGGCCGGAAGCGGCGGCGAUGGCGGCGGCGACCCCGCUGACCGGCGUGGGCUGGGCCGCUGCGCCCGAGGCAGCCCCCGCCGGUUGGACCGCGAUCACCGUUACCGUGGAGGGCGCGGCCGCCAACCUGGGCAAAGGCUUCGGGCACAAGGGCGGCGGGUACCUGUGCGUGAGCGGCGGCGGAGCCCAGGCGGCUCCCGGGCCCGUCGUGACCGACGUCCAGGUGUUGAGCGACCGGAGCCCGCAGCCCACCGGCUACACCCGCGCCCCCGAGUUCCCAGAGCCACGAAUCGGUGUCUCCCGGAAAAAACGGGUGUACGUGAAGCUGGUGCCACUGGACGCCGCCGAGACGGCCGUGUUUGACAUCCAGCUGAGCUCCAAGAGCAAAGCCCUCCCGCACUACAUGAAAAUAGGGGAAAUGGGCAGUUUUGCCAUCUGGUGUAAAAAGGGGCCGGUUCCAAAGUGCAGCCCCCAGCCCGUCCCCAAACCACGGACCAUCAGCGCCGGCCUGAGGCAGCUUUCGCUCCAGCCCCCCGACCCAAACCAGCAGUACGUCCACAUUGGGGUCACCAGCGGCUCGGUGCAGCAUCAAACGCGCUUCCCAGCACCCAUCUCUGUACGACACCUCCAACAUCUACGGCCUCUCGGCUAUGGACGGAGUGCCUUUCACACUACACCCCAAAUUUGAAAGCAGGCUCAUUUCUGGCACUAAUGUUUUUCUCACAGACCUGAAUGUUAAGUCACUUGCCGAUAUCGAGAAAGAGUACAAUUAUGCUUUUGUAGUCGAAAGGACAGCGGCUGCCAGGCUCCCACCCAGCAUUUGUUAGCCCUGGAGUCAACCUGGAGGAUGUGAACAGCAUCCAGCUGGGCUGAGCUGCUCCCUCUCUGCUUAAAUUUCGGGGUACCCAAAGAAAUGCAAUCAGUAUCUGAUCACGGGAACUGCUUAAGGAGAAAAAUAAACGUGUUUCUCUUCUCACUGCCAAAA